GCCAGUCGCCCGCGCGUCCCGCCGGGCCGGUUUUCGGGACCGGAGGUAAUGAUCAACAGAGACGGGCGGGGGCAUUCGUACCGAGACGUUAUAGGUGAAAUUCUUGGAUCGUCUCGAGACGAACUGACGCGAAAGCAUUUGCCAAGUACGUUCUCGUAUGAUCAAGAACGAAAGUUAGAGGUUCGAAGGCGAUCAGAUACCGCCCUAGUUCUAACUGUAAACGAUGCCAGCUAGCGAUCCGCCGGCGUUUCAUUAACGACCCGGCGGGCAGCUUCCGGGAAACCGAAGCUUUUCGGUUCCGGGGGAAGUAUGAUUGCAAAGUUGAAACUUAAAGGAAUUGACGGAAGGGCACCACCAGGAGUGGAGCCUGCGGCUUAAUUUGACUCAACACGGGAAACCUCACCAGGCCCGGACACCGGAAAGAUUGACAGAUUGAGAGCUCUUUCUUGAUUCGGUGGGUGGUGGUGCAUGGCCGUUCUUAUUUUGUGGAGCGAUCUGUCUGGUUAAUUUCCGAUAACGAACGAGACUCUGUCCUGCUAACUAGGCGGGUAAACCCGGGUCGUCGUGUGCGCGGCGCUGGCGGAUUCGGCCGUCAGUGUUCGCGUACCCCGUCGGCUCGGCCC
rnacentral:ncRNA from 1 species